CACGUAGGGUGCGAGCGUUGUCCGGAAUUAUUGGGCGUAAAGAGCUCGUAGGCGGUUCGGUAAGUCGGGUGUGAAACCUCCAGGCUCAACCUGGAGACGCCACCCGAUACUGCUGUGACUAGAGUCCGGUAGGGGAGCGUGGAAUUCCUGGUGUAGCGGUGAAAUGCGCAGAUAUCAGGAGGAACACCAGCGGCGAAGGCGGAUCUCUGGGCCUUACCUGACGCUCAGGCGCGGAAAGCCUAGGGGAGCGAACAGG
rnacentral:rRNA from 1 species